rnacentral:rRNA from 1 species
CCUACGCGGGGCAGCAGUGAGGAAUAUUGGUCAAUGGGCGCUAGCCUGAACCAGCCAAGUAGCGUGAAGGAUGACUGCCCUAUGGGUUGUAAACGUCUUUUGUAUGGGAAUAAAGUGCAGUAUGUAUACUGCUUUGCAUGUACCUUAUGAAUAAGGAUCGGCUAACUCCGUGACAGCAGCCGAGGUAAUACGGAGAUUCCGAGCGUUAUCCGGAUUUGUUGGGUUUAACGGGAACGUAGGCGGGUUGUUAAGUCAGUUGUUAAAGUUUGCGGCUCAACCGUAAAAUUGCAGUUGAUACUUGCAUCCUUGAGUACAGUAGAGGUAGGCGGAAUUCGUUGUGUAGCGGUGAAAUGCUUAGAUAUCACGAAGAACUCCGAUUGCGAAGGCAGCCUGCUGGACUGUAACUGACGCUGAUGCUCGAAAGUGUGGGUAUCAAACAGGAUUAGAUACCCUGGUAGUC